rnacentral:rRNA from 1 species
UACGUAGGGGGCAAGCGUUGUCCGGAAUCAUUGGGCGUAAAGCGCGUGUAGGCGGCUCGAUAAGUCUGCUGUGAAAGUUCAGGGCUCAACCCUGAAAUGCCGGUGGAAACUGUCGAGCUAGAGUACGGAAGAGGCGAGUGGAAUUCCUGGUGUAGCGGUGAAAUGCGCAGAUAUCAGGAGGAACACCAAUGGCGAAGGCAGCUCGCUGGGACGGUACUGACGCUGAGACGCGAAAGCGUGGGGAGCAAACAGG